GGGCCCGCACAAGCAGCGGAGCGUGUGGUUUAAUUCGAUGCUACACGAAGAACCUUACCAGGGUUUGACAUGCAAGUGGUAGGAACCGAAAGGCGACCGACCCUUCGGGGAGCUUGCACAGGUGCUGCAUGGCUGUCGUCAGCUCGUGUCGUGAGAUGUUCGGUUAAGUCCGCUAACGAGCGCAACCCUCGCUGUGUGUUACAAGUGUCACACGGUACUGCCGGUCUUAAGCCGGAGGAAGGUGGGGAUGACGUCAAGUCAGCAUGGCCUUUAUGUCCUGGGCUACACACACGCUACAAUGGCCAACACAAUAGGUUGCUAAGCCGCGAGGUGGAGCCAAUCCUCAAAGUUGGUCUCAGUUCAGAUUGCAGGCUGCAACCCGCCUGCAUGAAGAUGGAGUUGCUAGUAACCGCAGGUCAGCUAUACUGCGGUGAAUACGUUCCCGGGGCUU
rnacentral:rRNA from 1 species